UACGUAGGGUGCAAGCGUUAAUCGGAAUUACUGGGCGUAAAGCGUGCGCAGGCGGUUCUGUAAGUCCGGUGUGAAAUCCCCGGGCUUAACCUGGGAACUGCAUUUGUGACUGCAUAGCUAGAGUACGGUAGAGGGGGAUGGAAUUCCGCGUGUAGCAGUGGAAUGCGUAGAUAUGCGGAGGAACACCGAUGGCGAAGGCAAUCCCCUGGACCUGUACUGACGCUCAUGCACGAAAGCGUGGGGAGCAAACAGG
rnacentral:rRNA from 1 species